UUACGCCUACGGGGGGUAGCAGUGGGGAAUAUUGCACAAUGGGGGAAACCCUGAUGCAGCGACGCCGCGUGAGUGAAGAAGUAUUUCGGUAUGUAAAGCUCUAUCAGCAGGGAAGAAAAUGACGGUACCUGAUUAAGAAGCCCCGGCUAACUACGUGCCAGCAGCCGCGGUAAUACGUAGGGGGCAAGCGUUAUCCGGAUUUACUGGGUGUAAAGGGAGCGUAGACGGUGAUGCAAGUCAGAAGUGAAAGCCCGGGGCUCAACUCCGGGACUGCUUUUGAAACUGUGUAACUGGAGUGCAGGAGG
rnacentral:rRNA from 1 species